rnacentral:rRNA from 1 species
GACGAACGCUGGCGGCGUGCCUAAUACAUGCAAGUCGAACGCAGUGGGGACGGGUGAGUAACACGUGGGUAACCUCCCAUCAGAGGGGAUAACCCUUGGAAACAGGUGCUAAACCGAUAUCGAUGGAUGGUCCCGCGGUGCAUUAGCUAGUUGGUGAGGUAACGGCUCACCAAGGCCACGAUGCGUAUCCGGCCUGAGAGGGUGAUCAGCCACACUGGAACGGAGACACGGCCCAGACUCCUACGGGAGGCAGCAGUAGGGAAUCUUGGACAAUGGACGAAAGUCUGACCGAGCAACGCCGCGUGAGUGAAGAAGGUUUUCGGAUCGUAAAACUCUGUUGUUAGGGAAGCGGUACCUAACCAGAAAGCAACGGCUAACUACGUGCCAGCAGCCGCGGUAAUAC